GCUACUUGUGUUCAAAUAUUUGAUAGGAUAGGUUUCUAUGCAGUCAAACUUCACACUAGCAAAGCUGCAACUUUUCGUGACGGUUUUAAUUAUCUUUUAUCGGUUCUUAAAAACAUCAUGAACAUAAACUAAUUUUGUCGACAGCCAAAAAAAAGUCAGAAGUGGUAGGAAACAUAAGAGCAACUUCAAGAGAUUCUCUAAAUUUUUCCUAAAUGUUACGAAUAGAGAUUUUGGUGAAAAAAUACCCUCUAACAGCUCGUCUAAAUGGUUGUGCAAAUAUAGUCAUCUUCUAUUCCAGAUUUUUCGCUAGCCAACGAGAAUGACUCUCUAGAGUGCGCACAAGAGAUAGAUAAGUUGUCGAAAAGUGAAAAAGUAUAGAAAACGAUUUUUAUGAAAACAAUUGUCUAAAUGAUGAUUUAGAAAGUGAGAUUUGUAAAGACUCUUGGAGAUGCUCUAACCGCAAUGCAACCCUCUAAUGACUCCUCACGGUCCAGCACAGACCAACCCAAAUUUCUAUCAUGCACCCAACUCAUGCAAAAUAAAAAAAAAAUUGAAGACUCACCUUACUAGCCACUAUGGGUCUCACAUUGGACAUAAAAGACACCAACCCCUAUCUUCUUAGAGCAUCUCUAAGAGACUAGGUAAAUCAUUUUGUAAAUAUAAAUAUGGCUAUUAUUAGCAAAAAAACGUCACCAAUAGGCUUUCCAUCUCAUUAUAUAAAUAUAACCGCGAGCUGUUCCAUGUUUUUCGCUUGUCAUAAAAAGCGAGUGAGGCUCGCUCGUCAAGUCCGCGUGAAUCACGGCAGCAGGGGCACGUCAUGAAAUGGAGCACUCCGAACGGCUUGAGGGCGCAAUCAGCCACAUGCGAGGCGAGAUGGAUAGCAGAAGAUAAGAGCAUCUCCAACAUAUAGUCUAAAUUUCACUCUCUAUAUCUUCAUUUGGCUACCCAUUUCCAUAACAUUCCUCCUCUAUAUUUUAGUACGGUCCAACAGACUAGCCAAAUCACAAUAAAUUUUUGAAGCAAAAUAAGGUAAACAAGACUUGGG
rnacentral:lncRNA from 1 species